UUUCACCACCUCUGCUGUGGAUGCCCCGCCCUCUCCAAUCAAACCCUCCAAUUAUGGAGUCUCCUCCUCUGAAGACGUCCCCUCAUCAUCAGUGUGAUCCGGCUCUGGGGGAGUGUCCUUUUCUAGUCUUUUCUACCUUUUCACCAAAAAUUUACUUCAGAUUUCCUCAUUUUCUUCUUUUCUCUCUUGAUUUAAACAGAACGUCGUGAGUGUUUGCUGAAGAACACAGCACCAGGAACCGCAUGAGACGAUGAAGGAUAACAAAGCGGAGGAGAGACGAUCGAAGACGAGGAGGAGGAGCAACGCGCUGUCCACUCGGAGACCAGACGCAGGAUGCGGUACAGAACCCAGGCUGAUCUACAUGUUCUGGUUCUGGACCCUGAAUCUCAGCCUCGGUUGGAGGACGGACAGCGUCAGCUGACACAGGACGACAGUGUUACGCUCUGACCAGUCUGACCAGUCUGACCUGUGACCUGUGACCUGCAGUUCACCUCCAGGAUUUUACAGGAAUGAACCGCGACCUGUUCGAGAUAAAGACGACCAGAAAGGUGAACUGACCGUGAGCCGACCGUGAGCCACAAAGUCCUCACAGCAGUGUCUCUUCAGGGCUGAGGACAUUUAAAGGAGCAGUUCCCUCUGAACUGCUGUGACACGUUGAAGCUGACGCCGUCUGAGGAGCAGCUGAUGGAGGGAAACGCUCAGGACACAACUUCUCCUUCACUCUGCACAUGAAAGGCUGAUGAAGUCUGAGGCUGAGUGUGGUUCUACACGUCUGACUGGAUUUACUCUGCACACGAAGACAGUCAGUCUGCUGAGUCGCUGCAGAGACGCUGCUGAAAUAAAAGUCAAACUUGUCCUGAUCUGUGCUACAAACGCUCUUGAGUGCAACAGAAACUGUCCCACACACAUCGCUACUAAUUUCCUCCAGAGCUGUGGACAGGACCAUGAACACACCACAGACUCUCAGCUUUUCCUCCAGCACAGUCAAACCUCUGGACUCUGGACCUGAACCAUCAGGAACGGCCUCAGGAACCACGUGACGCUCGGUAAACAAUCCUGUGCUCGGUCAGAGCAAAGAUCUCUCACUGAACUGAACUGUAGUUCACUGCAUCUGCUGCCGUCAGUGUCCAGGAAACCCGGGCUGAGUCCACUGAACUGUGUGGAACACACAACCGCAGGACACUUUAGGCAGAGCUGAGGGACAGAGAGAGACGAGGGGCCACCAGGACUCCUGGAGGACAAAGACCCAGAUCCAGGACAGCCAUGAGAGUAGAAGAAGAAGACCCAGGACGGGCCACGGUCCAGUGUUUAAUACAGGCGUUAGCAGCCGUCCAUCUCAUCAAUCUGUCACUCUGGAGACGUGUCAGUCCAAACAGAGUUCAGCCAAUCAGAGCGCAGGACAGGGGAGGAGGACUGGGGGAGGAAGAUGGUGAGGGAGGUGAAGUCUCACCAAUUUACCUGCCGGAGCACUCAGAGCAGUCGCAGGUUUUCUCCGUGUCACGUGUUUGAGGAGGAACACGUGAGGUCACGGCAGGUCGCGGCUGUACGUCCUCGACAGUGAGCUGAAAUUUAAACAGGUUAGGAGGACAGACCGUGGACAGUCGUUCACCGACUUACCUGUUUGCUCAGGAAUGAGAACGGACUGCUGCUGACCUACAGUGCGGCCAUGAUGGGGGAGGGGUCAGCGAGUGAAUUCAUUACACAGACACACGCUAAUGAAGGACAGUAACUGUCGGAGAGGACGUGACUCUGGACUUGGAGAAGAGGAAGAGUUAGUCAAAGAGCAGUGGGAAAAGAAGCAAAGGAAAAGAAAGCUGGAGCAAAGGCAGAUGUCAGGACGAGAGGGGACACGAAGACGACGUCAACAACAUCAUCGAGGACACAGCAACAGAUGUCUUCACCUGGUCUCACCUGUGGAUCAUCUCAUCCGUCUGUCUGACUGGCUCUGCUUCCUGUCAGCUCACCAGCCGUCCUCUGCAGGAACAACCACACACGUCACACCAACCACAGAUCUCAGUGUGAUGUCAGCAGGUUGCGUGGCGUCUUCGUGCGGCGGCCUGUAGUUCUGGGACUGAUGGAGCUUCCUGUGUCCCGUCCCUCUGCUUCCUGUCGGAGGGCUCUGUGUCCGGGCUCGGCUGAGCGUCUCUGCUCUGUGACCGAGGGCCGGUUCAAACCUUUAUUCUUCCGAACCUGAAGACGUGGACGGACCUGACAGAAGCUCCCGUGUCUCUGGUCUCUGUACGGCAGUCAGGACGGAGGACGUACGAAGACCGAGACUGUGAGACCAGAGAACAGGUUGAAGAACCAGCUGCUGUGAGUCUGAACAGAACCAGUUCCAUCGUCCGCGGCGUCCUGCGUUGGCCCGCUGAGACCCUAACCCUAACCCUAACCCGGGCCUCGUCCUGUCUCUGGGGACGAGGCAGGCUGUCACUAUGGCAACGAAGACUUUGGAGGGAACUGAGAGCGACGUCUCUCGCUCCGCUGCUCCAUCGAUCGUCCCUCGUCAACAGAAACGGCUCGUCGCUGUGAGUAACGGGGGUUUGAUGGUCAGAGGAAGUUUCCAGAUGAAAUCUGCUGCGACUGAAACGUGGGCGAGUUUCGUGUUAAUGAGGAAACAGAUUCACGUUUUUCUCCUCGCGGCAAAAAUCAAGUCUCUGUUUGCUUUAACCAAACUGACCUGAGUUCAGUGGAUCACAGCAGAACUCGGUCCCUGUCCCAGAGCCCGUCCCAGAGCCCGUCCCAGAGCCCAUCCCAGAACCUGAGGUCAGAGAUCCGCUCAGAGAGUUUCCCAUCAUGCCUUUCUGCAGGCUGUCAGCAGCCGCUGGGUCUGGCGGGCGUCGGUCGACCUCGACCUUCAGCGGCACCUCGGAGGACGAAGCCGUCGUUGGAGAAAGCGUUUGGGGGCAGACAGACGGAGAUGGACGGGGAGAGAGGCAGAAUCCAUUCAGAGACGUUAAUAAAAUCAAAGAGCCUGAUAUGAUCAAGCAUGAAGUACAUUACAAAGGACGGUAAACAUGUAAAACCAGUCUGUGGCAAACUGAGGACGGAAGGACCGUGGACACAGACCAGGACUGAAGCAGCGUGGACACAGAGCGUACCUGUGGGACUGAGGGACCGGGGACACAGACGUAGUCUGGAGGUCUUCGUGGUGCAGCAGUUUCUCUCUGUCAGGUCUUGACCUCAGUCUGUGAAGAGUCUUCAGAUCACGUAUGCAGUUACUUGGCUCUGUGUAAAUGACAACACGUAACAACAUGUCAUGUAUAACAGGAUCAUACAACACGCAGUGAGCGUGAGUCAGACGCUGGAGCACAUGAUGAUCUGCAGCAGUGACUCUGUUCCAGCAGAUGAACCACUGAUGCAGAUCAGAGUGGAGGUCUGCUUUAAUAUUUCA